rnacentral:rRNA from 1 species
UACGUAGGGUGCAAGCGUUGUCCGGAAUUAUUGGGCGUAAAGAGCGUGUAGGCGGCCAUACAGGUCAGCUGUGAAAACUCGAGGCUCAACCUCGAGACGUCGGUUGAAACCGUAUGGCUAGAGUCCGGAAGAGGAGAGUGGAAUUCCCGGUGUAGCGGUGAAAUGCGCAGAUAUCGGGAAGAACACCCGUGGCGAAGGCGGCUCUCUGGGACGGUACUGGACGCUGAGACGCGAAAGCGUGGGGAGCGAACGAGG